CAUGCUGCCGUGAAUACGUUCCCGGGCCCUUGUACACACCGCCCGUCACACCAUGAGAGUUGGGAAUACCCGAAGCCUGUGAGCUAACUUAUAGAGGCAGCAGUCGAAGGUAGAAUCAAUGAGUUGGGGUAAAGUCGUAACAAGGUAUC
rnacentral:rRNA from 1 species